ensembl:snRNA U6 U6 spliceosomal RNA
GUGCUCGCUUCAGCAGCACAUAUACUAAAAUUGGAAUGAUAGAAGAUUAGCAUGGCCCCUGAGCAAGGAUGACAUGCAAAUUCGUGAAGCGUUCCAUAUUUUU